UCUAUACUAUGUGAAUCAUCGAAUCUUUGAACGCACCUUGCGCCAUUGUGAAUUCAUGAUGGCACGUCUGUUUGAGUAUCAAUUACCAUCAAGUCACUGUUGUGUGCACACGUCUUCACUGACUCGCCACAUGCAGCUUAUUGAGUGCCGCGGUUCCCCUGCUGAACCGCCACUUUAAGUACAUUGUCUGACACUCGUUCAGUUGACAGAGUUAUUACAACCUGCUCGGCGCGUGUAGUGUCACGACACUGUGUCGCGAGUGUGACUUCUGCCGUCAAACGCAAUAGUCGUCACACGAGAUCGCACACCAAAAACUUGAUCUCAAAUCAGACGAGGAUACCCGCUGAACUUAAGCAUAUCAAUAAGCGGAGG
rnacentral:rRNA from 1 species